UUCACUUCAUCACAGUGAAAAUGACCUUAUAAACGGUUUGGAUGGAAUAUGAACAUAAGGUGGAGCCUAGGAAGGUUUCAACGGUAGGAAUUCCUUUCUCCGCUGUUUCAUCUUGUUUGGCCCACUUCAGCUUUGGAUCCUCCUCUUUUUUGGUUUCAUAUAUUCAAUUGAGCUCGAAAAACAGAUGGACGGGUUGGAUUUCUCAUAAACAUCACGGUGGACCCCACCUUGCAUCCGAAAGGCUGCUGCUUUGGUAGAUGGGGUCUCAUUAUUGGUGUGGUGGUGCUGUUGUUGUUGGACAUUUACGUGUGAGUAUAAUGUACAUAAUGACAACAUGAACGGUUCAGCUGGGGUAGGUAGCGUCAUGUUUUAAUGGUAUGGAGUUGAGUGGACCCCACCAGUCACUACUACCUCUCAUAUUCGGAGUUGACCCCAACCUCUGUAUAAUAUCCACUCCAUCCAUCCUUGGUGUGAACUCAUGUUACUAACAGUUUGAUUGAACGCCCACCGUUGAUA